AGCAGCCGCGGUAAUUCCAGCUCCAAUAGCGUAUAUUUAAGUUGUUGCAGUUAAAAAGCUCGUAGUUGAAUUUUGGAUUCUUCCAAUUGGUCCAUCUUUUAGAUGAGUACUGGUUGUGUGGGGUCUACCCGCCUGGUGAUACGUAAUGUCCUUUAUUGGAUGUUGCGGGUAGUCAGGACCUUUACCUUGAAAAAAUUAGAGUGUUUAAAGCAGGCUUAUGCCGGAAUACAUUAGCAUGGAAUAAUAGAAUAGGACGAAGUUGUUUUAUUUUGUUGGUUUCUAGGACAACCGUAAUGAUUAAUAGGGAUAGUUGGGGGCAUUAGUAUUCAAUUGUCAGAGGUGAAAUUCUUGGAUUUAUUGAAGACUAACUACUGCGAAAGCAUUUGCCAAGGAUGUUUUCAUUAAUCAAGAACGAAAGUUAGGGGAUCGAAGACGAUCAGAUACCGUCGUAGUCUUAACCAUAAACUAUGCCGACUAGGGAUCGGGCGAUGUUGUUUCCAUGACUCGCUCGGCACCUUAU
rnacentral:misc_RNA from 2 species